rnacentral:rRNA from 1 species
GUGAGGAAUAUUGGUCAAUGGGCGAGAGCCUGAACCAGCCAAGUAGCGUGCAGGAUGACUGCCUUAUGGGUUGUAAACUGCUUUUAGUUGGGAAUAAAAAGAGCCACGUGUGGUUUAUUGUAUGUACCUUCAGAAAAAGGACCGGCUAAUUCCGUGCCAGCAGCCGCGGUAAUACGGAAGGUCCGAGCGUUAUCCGGAUUUAUUGGGUUUAAAGGGAGCGUAGGCUGAUGAUUAAGUCAGCGGUUAAAUAGUGUGGCUCAACCAUACUUUGCCGUUGAAACUGGUUGUCUUGAGUGCACGCAGGGAUGCUGGAACUCGUGGUGUAGCGGUGAAAUGCUUAGAUAUCACGAUGAACUCCGAUCGCGAAGGCAGGUGUCCGGAGUGCAACUGACGCUGAGGCUCGAAAGUGUGGGUAUCCAACAGGAUUAGAAACCCUAGUAGUCC